UAACCCGGCCAUAGGCAGGGUGGAACCACCCGGACUCGCCAGAUCCCGGAAGUGAAACGCCCUGCCGCGUUGCCAAGUACUGCGGUCCGAGAUGGCCGCGGGAACGGCGCGUGCCGGGACCC
rfam:Vulcanisaeta sp. MG_3 scf1118686645766, whole genome shotgun sequence.